GGGGCGGUAAGGCUCAGGCAUGGCGGGCUGCAGGUCCUGAUCCCUGCCCGGCGGGGAGGCAGCUAAGGCCUGGCGAGAAAUCGAGCACAGCAGCUGCUGGCCCAGGUGCUAAGCCCCUCACUGCCCGGGAUCGGCGGGGCUGGCCGGCAGCUCCCAGUGCGGGGCCCUCCGAGCCCACGCCCCACCGGGAACUCCCGCUGGCUCGCAAGCGCCGGGCGCAGCCCCAGUUCCCGCCCGCGCCUCUCCCUCCUCACCUCCCAGCAAGCUGAGGGAGCCGGCUCCGGCCUCGGCCAGCCCAGGAAGGGACUCCCACAGUGCAGCGGCGGGCUGAAGGGCUCCUCAAGUGCCGCCGGAGUGGGCGCCCAGGCAGAGGAGGCGCCCAGAGCGAGCGAGGACUGCGAGGACUUGCCAGCACGCUGUCACCUCUCACUUCCAGAACUAGCCACAUCUCUAAGGAGCUCUCAUUCCUGUUAAUGAAGAAUGAUAUUUACAAACCAAAAUCCAGGAACUAGGUUUAGGAGCAAGAUAAUGGAAUAGAAGCCUACAACAUUUGCUCUCCGACCCCACUGGAAAACCAAAUGACUCUUGGGUUUCCUGACACCAGGCCUAGGUGGUGGGACAGCAUUUCUGGACCUGCCCUGGGAAAGAAGGGAGCUUAACAGUCCUGAAAGGACAGACUAGUUCUCCGUCCCUUGCAGCUCAUGGGCUGAGUUCUGACCAAUGGGAUGUAGACAGAGAUGAUGCGCAAUCUUGAAAGAAUUCCUACUCCUCACCUUCCCUUUGGAUCGCCAGCUGAACCAAAGUUACAUGACUUUUCAAAGCAUCU
rnacentral:lncRNA from 1 species